rnacentral:rRNA from 1 species
AGAGUUUGAUCCUGGCUCAGAUUGAACGCUGGCGGCAGGCCUAACACAUGCAAGUCGAACGGUAACAGAGAGCAGCUUGCUGCUCUGCUGACGAGUGGCGGACGGGUGAGUAAUGUCUGGGGAUCUGCCCGAUGGAGGGGGAUAACCACUGGAAACGGUGGCUAAUACCGCAUAACGUCGCAAGACCAAAGUGGGGGACCUUCGGGCCUCACACCAUCGGAUGAACCCAGAUGGGAUUAGCUAGUAGGUGGGGUAACGGCUCACCUAGGCGACGAUCCCUAGCUGGUCUGAGAGGAUGACCAGCCACACUGGAACUGAGACACGGUCCAGACUCCUACGGGAGGCAGCAGUGGGGAAUAUUGCACAAUGGGCGCAAGCCUGAUGCAGCCAUGCCGCGUGUAUGAAGAAGGCCUUCGGGUUGUAAAGUACUUUCAGCGGGGAGGAAGGGAUGGAGCUUAAUACGCUUCGUCAUUGACGUUACCCGCAGAAGAAGCACCGGCUAACUCCGUGCCAGCAGCCGCGGUAAUACGGAGGGUGCAAGCGUUAAUCGGAAUUACUGGGCGUAAAGCGCACGCAGGCGGUCUGUCAAGUCGGAUGUGAAAUCCCCGGGCUCAACCCGGGAACUGCAUUCGAAACUGGCAGGCUAGAGUCUCGUAGAGGGGGGUAGAAUUCCAGGUGUAGCGGUGAAAUGCGUAGAGAUCUGGAGGAAUACCGGUGGCGAAGGCGGCCNCC